rnacentral:rRNA from 1 species
GGCAGGCCUAACACAUGCAAGUCGAACGGUAACAGGAAGCAGCUUGCUGCUUUGCUGACGAGUGGCGGACGGGUGAGUAAUGUCUGGGAAACUGCCUGAUGGAGGGGGAUAACUACUGGAAACGGUAGCUAAUACCGCAUAACGUCGCAAGACCAAAGAGGGGGACCUUCGGGCCUCUUGCCAUCGGAUGUGCCCAGAUGGGAUUAGCUAGUAGGUGGGGUAACGGCUCACCUAGGCGACGAUCCCUAGCUGGUCUGAGAGGAUGACCAGCCACACUGGAACUGAGACACGGUCCAGACUCCUACGGGAGGCAGCAGUGGGGAAUAUUGCACAAUGGGCGCAAGCCUGAUGCAGCCAUGCCGCGUGUAUGAAGAAGGCCUUCGGGUUGUAAAGUACUUUCAGCGGGGAGGAAGGCGAUAAGGUUAAUAACCUUGUCGAUUGACGUUACCCGCAGAAGAAGCACCGGCUAACUCCGUGCCAGCAGCCGCGGUAAUACGGAGGGUGCAAGCGUUAAUCGGAAUUACUGGGCGUAAAGCGCACGCAGGCGGUCUGUCAAGUCGGAUGUGAAAUCCCCGGGCUCAACCUGGGAACUGCAUUCGAAACUGGCAGGCUAGAGUCUUGUAGAGGGGGGUAGAAUUCCAGGUGUAGCGGUGAAAUGCGUAGA